rnacentral:rRNA from 1 species
CCUACGGGCGGCAGCAGUGAGGAAUAUUGGUCAAUGGACGCAAGUCUGAACCAGCCAUGCCGCGUGCAGGAAGACGGCCCUAUGAGUUGUAAACUUCUUUUGUAAGAGGGUAAACGCAGACACGUGUAUCUGUAUGAAAGUACCGUAUGAAUAAGGAUCGGCUAACUCCGUGCCAGCAGCCGCGGUAAUACGGAGGAUCCAAGCGUUAUCCGGAUUUAUUGGGUUUAAAGGGGGCGUAGGGGGUUGGCUAAGUUAGAUGUGAAAUUUCGCGGCUCAACCUGAAAAUUGCCUUUGAUACUGGUCGGCUAGAGAACAGUUGCGGUAGGCGGAAUGCGUGGUGUAGCGGUGAAAUGCUUAGAGAUCAUGAAGAACUCCGAUUGCGAAGGCAGCUUACCAAGCUGCUACUGACAUUGAGGCUCGAAAGCGUGGGGAGCAAACAGGAUUAGAUACCCCUGUAGUC